rnacentral:rRNA from 1 species
AUUGAACGCUGGCGGCAGGCCUAACACAUGCAAGUCGAGCGGAGCGGCGGACGGGUGAGUAAUGCCUAGGAAUCUGCCUGGUAGUGGGGGAUAACGUCCGGAAACGGGCGCUAAUACCGCAUACUAUCAGAUGAGCCUAGAACGGAUUAGCAAGUUGGUGGGGUAAAGGCCUACCAAGGCGACGAUCCGGAACUGGUCUGAGAGGAUGAUCAGUCAGAAUGGAAAUGAGACACGGUCCAGACUCCAACGGUAGGCAGCAGGUGUGAAGAUUGGACAAGGGGCGAAAACCUGAUCCAGCCAUGCCGCGUGUGUGAAGAAGGUCUUCGGAUUGUAAAGCACUUUAAGUUGGGAGGCGUUACCAACAGAAUAAGCACCGGCUAAAUUCGUGCCAGCCGCCGCGGUAAUAC